AUGGACUCUGGCCCCACGCUGGGGCAAAGUCCCGUUGCCCAACCCUGCCGUGCAUGGGUCCCGCAUGGGCCCGGCCAGGGCAGGAGUGCCCCGUGGCACGGCACCGCUGGCACACGGCCACGCUCCCUGUCCAGCCCCGUGCAGGAUCCCACCACCCCAGCGAGGCACAGCCUGAGCCCCCUCGGCAGGACGGCCACCCAGGGCGAUGAUGGCACAUGGGGGGGCCGGCUGGAGGAGCCCCCAGUCCAUUCCCAGCAGCCGGGGGAAGCCAGCAAGGAGCCACACCCGCUUCCCCGCACCUCAAACCAGGAGCCGGGGGAAUUCCUUCCACCCUCAGCCAGUCCCAGCGCAGAUGAGCAGCUCGCUGGACCCUGCUCCCUGUCCGGGAUCUCCCGCACGCCCGGCCGGGCGCGUGUGCAUGGCACGAACGCUUCCCCUUUCCAACGUCUCCUUCCAGGCCAGCAUUCCUCCAGCCUUUGGUUUUCCAUAAAACAAACACUCCCGGCGAGCUCCCCAGCUGGGCCAGGCAACCGUGCUGCUGAUUUAGGCCAUCUGGGGACUGUCCCUCCCUUGUAUUUAGAUUUCGGGGCCAAGUUCAGCAUUUGUGAGAUACUUUGCAAGCCACAGCAAAGGGGCCACCGGGAGGUUGGAGCGGGACCGGCCGGGCCAGCAAUGCUCCAUCACCGUCACAGCCUCCAAACCAGCACCGUGUCCCCCUCCCCUGAACGCUGCAGCCCACGAGCCUCUGCACAGCAGCCAAAAUCUCCCCCCAUUCCUCGAUGUUUCGCUCCCAGCUCGCCCCGAGAGGCAACGGCAGCACAGAUGGACACUGCUACCCACAUAGCCCGGCCCAGGGGAGCUGGACACAGAGCCCUUUUCUCCUCCUUUUGCUCGGGGAGAGCAGAUCCUGUGACAUUCCCACUGCUGGCGCUCUCACAAAGGAAACCAGGCCAGGGAGGCAUCGCUGGUGCUGCCUUUCCAGCCACCUACCAGGGGAAGCUGCUGGUAACCCGAGAGACUUCGCAGGCACCAUCCCAGGGCAGCGAGCCCAGAGCAGAGCCAAGCCCCAGCAGGGCUUUGGGACAAGGGGAGGGGACAGGACCUGCACACACGGGUCGAGGACAAGAGGGGUAA
rnacentral:lncRNA from 13 species